CUGCUUGAGAACAUUAAAAGGGUGUUUUUGUCCAAUGAAUUACACCUGUGUCCUUCAAUAUGCAGCAUUUGUAACUUAAUACCCAAGCAGUUUGUGAUUUAAUACUCAAGCAAUUUUCCUUUUUUUUUUUUUUUUUUUUUUCCUUCUUUCUUAAAGGAAUACUUGCAAGCGUGGGGUCAGGUUAAAUCUUUUUGGAAUCAAAGGAAAGUACUGGAAGUCAGGAAUGGCUGAACUGAAACAGGGACCCAAAUGAGCCCUCUGUGGCAAAUCUGUGAUCAAGUACCCCAAACUGGAGUCCAUUGCCUGGUUCAGUUCUGCACUACUGAUCGGAGACAGAGGUGGCAGAUGAAAUGAGGUUACCAUGAAUUAUUUGAGACUUGGCAACACUGAUGGUUUACAAAUACUUCCUUUUUCCUACUUGAGAGGAGAAAAGGGAAUGCAGGAUGCCCUGAAUCAUCUAGUCCUAUCCACCCUGCAGAGGUCCUUGUUGCUGACUUUACUGGGAGAAGAUUGUGAUAAAGACCAGCUUACCUUUUUGAAAUGAAGUAAUCUCCCUCUUCUCCCAAUUGUAAGGUAUCACAAUUGUAAGGUAUGUUUAAGUAAGUGUUAAGAUGUGUUGUUUUCAUAUUAUAAUAUCUAAGUGGUUUUAUAUAUAUACAUAUAUAUAUAAAGCUAUUUUUUAUUAUAAUUUGGUGCCUUAAGUAACUGUAAAGAAGUUUCAUCUGCACCUUGUUACUUGAUUUAAAUUAUUCUCCAUUAAGUCAAUGAAACAGAGUUAUCAGGACUUUACUCUUCUCCAUUUUUUAUCAUUUUAUCUGUAAAAUCACCCUGUUUCAUUCUUUAAUUCUUUGUUUCAAGUUAAUAAAUUCACUUUAGAGAUUUGGUACUCUCAAUUUAUGCAGGAACAAAGAAUGUGAAAAUAGGCACAUACUAACUUAUUCAGUGAAUGAUGCAUAUAAUGAUGUAAUGUUUCUUGUUUAUUUGUCCCCCAUUUUAUAGUUUUCAAAGCUGUUUUUUUUUUUGUUUUUUUUUUUUUUUUUUUUCCCUAAAGAUACUCAUGGAAAGUAAGCACGAAUAUGUGACAAGAUUUUCUGAGGUGAUGGGUACCUUAAGCGCCCGAUGGGUUUAAGUAUGGGUAAAAACAAAGACUGCUAGUUUAGCACCAUCUACAUGUUUUGGACAUCUGUCAGCAUGUUGGUCUAAAAUUGUAUUUCAACUACUGAAUUAAAAUUAUUUUCUGCAAAUGCUUUGUUUCUUUUAUUAAACGUGU
rnacentral:lncRNA from 1 species